UAAUAAUAAUAAAUAAAUAAAUCUUUGGAAGUUUGGGAUCUACAAAAUAAAUUCAAACUAUGCAUAUCAACUGUAUCACUGUAUCACUGUUCAGCUGGAAUCGCACUCACAAAUACCUCUUCUUCCUGCUUCAUUUUCUUCCAACAUCAAAAUAUGGCUUAAAUUCUCUUCCCUUUUCCCUUCAGCGAGAAAUCUGACACUCAUCACCCAAAAAUUACAUCGCCCCUCUCCUUGCCUUGCCGUUUUCCUCAUCUCUCGGUGGUUCGUUCUCUCCAUUGGAUUCCAUUUGGGAACAAGAAACACCUGUUGCAUGUCCCGAUUCAUUACCGUUUUGACGAGGAUUUUCGAAAUUUACCUCAAUUGUAUUCUCUCUCUUUCUGCACUUUGGAAAGAUUGACUCAUACUCUUUAGGCUUGAAAUAGAUUCUGUAAAUCAGUGUUGCUGGAGGAGUUGUUCCGCAGCCUCAGGAAGAACAUAGCAAUGUGUUUGAAAUAAGGUUGACUCAUAAUCUUUAGGCAUCAAACAGAUUCUGUAAAUCAGUGUUGGUGGAGGAGUUGUUCCGCAGCCGCAGUAAGAACAGAGCAACGUGUUUGAAAUAAGGUAUGACAAAAAAAUUUCUAUAAAAUUUUGCAAUUUUUGAGUUUGAAGCCAUUCAAAUUGGUUUGUUCAGUAGGAAUAAAAAUAGCAAUUAAUCAAAUUGUUUGGGUCCUAUUUGUAUGGCUAACGUCUCAUUGGCCGUCGGCCUCUUGAACACUAAGAAAUAUGUCCACUGGUCAUUUACUUUGAUAGCAAAGUGAAUUGAGUUAAAGCUUGCAGCUUCUGGGACCUGAAAAAGGACUAAAAAAGAAUUAGACUGUAUAAUGUGUAUUUGCUUGGUAGUACUCUAUGGUGCAAUGAAUACUGAGAUGAAUAAUUAAAAUGAAGGGUAAACAUAGGCGUACAACUUGAGUAGACAAAGAAUAUGAGUCAUCAUCAACAGUUGAAUAGGAACUUUAUUGCAAGCGUUUUUGCAUUCGGUGUUGGUUUUCAAAUGUGACUUAUGUGUUUUGCUUCAUUUUAGUUUACUUAUUGUUAAGUAUUUAAUAAUUGACAACUUUUUUUUUAUUAUUUUUUUUUUUAGAUUUCUCAGUGAAUUAUCUAUUGCUUGGAGUUUGAAUUUUUUUAUGCCAUGUUAAGAGGGUGUAGAACUAGCAAACGCAAUCAAAUAAUACAAGAAUGCCAUAUUGUUGGUUCUUCCGGUGGCAUACAAGUUUGUGAUAAACCAAGCUUUGAACAUCAGGACAAAAGACAAAAAAUUGUUGACAAACAGUAUAAACACAGUCCAAACAAGUGCCAAUGUCGUUACAUUUGAUAAUUCAAAUCAAAUUAGUAAAGGUCAAGCCAAUUUUCAAAAAAACAAACAAGGUAAUUGUCUCUAUUGAACUUACAAUUUAUUUUGAGUCGAUUAUGCAUUUAUUACUCUGUCACUAAUAAGUUGCAUUUUUGUCUUCUUUUUCUUCCUUUCCCACAUGUAUUUUUAUUAAAUAGGCAAUAUUGUGGAAUAUGUGGAUAUGGGAGACAAGAACUACAUGUGCAUUUAUUGCGGUGUACUGUUUUUUUGGCUAAAAGAGUCUCUUAAGAAAAAAUCUCAGAAUUGAAGAGGCUGUUAGUAUGUCAUCCUCAACUUCUUGCAUGUAAUAUAUGAAUGUAAAUAGAACUCUGGCUAUGGCAUACGACCAUCCCAAUUUUUGUCAUGUAAUAUAAGAAUGUAAUAUAUGUAUACAACCCUACUCUUUGGCACAUAUUUUCUCAUGUAUAUAAGCUCUACUUUUUACA